GGAGGGUGCAAACGUUGCUCGGAUUUACUGGGCGUAAAGCGCAUGCAGGCGGUCUGCAAAGUUUCGUGUGAAAGCCCUGGGCUCAACCCAGGAAGUGCACGGAAAACUGGCAGACUAGAGUACUGGAGAAGUGGGCGGAAUUCCCGGUGUAGAGGUGAAAUUCGUAGAUAUCGGGAGGAACACCAGCAGCGAAGGCGGCUCACUUGACAGAUACUGACGCUCAGAUGCGAAAGCGUGGGGGGGAGCAAACAGGAUUAGAUACCCUGGUAGUCCACGCCGUAAACGAUGGGCACUAGGUGUCGGGGGCUUGACCCCCCCCCUUCGGCGCCGCCGCUAACGCAUUAAGUGCCCCCGCCUGGGGACUACGGUCGCAAGACUA
rnacentral:rRNA from 1 species